rnacentral:rRNA from 1 species
GACGAACGCUGGCGGCGUGCUUAACACAUGCAAGUCGAACGAUGAAGCUGGAGCUUGCUCUGGUGGAUUAGUGGCGAACGGGUGAGUAACACGUGAGUAACCUGCCCUGGACUCUGGGAUAACCCCGAGAAAUCGGAGCUAAUACCGGAUAGGACCUCGGAUCGCAUGAUCUGGGGUGGAAAGUUUUUCGGUCUGGGAUGGACUCGCGGCCUAUCAGCUUGUUGGUGAGGUAAUGGCUCACCAAGGCGUCGACGGGUAGCCGGCCUGAGAGGGUGACCGGCCACACUGGGACUGAGACACGGCCCAGACUCCUACGGGAGGCAGCAGUGGGGAAUAUUGCACAAUGGGCGCAAGCCUGAUGCAGCAACGCCGCGUGCGGGAUGACGGCCUCCGGGUUGUAAACCGCUUUUAGUAAGGAAGAAGCCGCAAGGUGACGGUACUUGCAGAUAAAGGACCGGCUAACUACGUGCCAGCCGCCGCAGUAAGAC